AUUGAACGCUGGCGGCAUGCCUUACACAUGCAAGUCGAACGGUAACGGGCCUUCGGGCGCCGACGAGUGGCGGACGGGUGAGUAAUGCAUCGGAACGUACCUUUCAGUGGGGGAUAACGUAGCGAAAGUUACGCUAAUACCGCAUAUUCUGUGAGCAGGAAAGCAGGGGAUCGCAAGACCUUGCGCUGAUUGAGCGGCCGAUGUCAGAUUAGCUAGUUGGUGAGGUAAAGGCUCACCAAGGCGACGAUCUGUAGCGGGUCUGAGAGGAUGAUCCGCCACACUGGAACUGAGACACGGUCCAGACUCCUACGGGAGGCAGCAGUGGGGAAUUUUGGACAAUGGGGGCAACCCUGAUCCAGCCAUGCCGCGUGAGUGAAGAAGGCCUUCGGGUUGUAAAGCUCUUUCGGCCGGGAAGAAAUCGUAUGGGCUAAUACCCUGUGCGGAUGACGGUACCGGCAUAAGAAGCACCGGCUAACUACGUGCCAGCACG
rnacentral:rRNA from 1 species